UGGGGGAAUAUUGCACAAUGGGGGGAAACCCGUGAUGCAGCGACGCCGCGUGGAGGAAGAAGGUCUUCGGAUUGUAAACUCCUGUUGUUGAGGAAGAUAAUGACGGUACUCAACAAGGAAGUGACGGCUAACUACGUGCCAGCAGCCGCGGUAAAACGUAGGUCACAAGCGUUGUCCGGAAUUACUGGGUGUAAAGGGAGCGCAGGCGGCGAAGCAAGCCAGAGGUGAAAACCCGGGGCUCAACCCCGAGGAUUGCCUUUGGAACUGUUUUGCUUGAGUGCUGGAGGGGCAGGCGGAAUUCCUGGUGUAGCGGUGAAAUGCGUAGAUAUCAGGAGGAACACCGGUGGCGAAGGCGGCCUGCUGGACAGUAACUGACGCUGAGGCUCGAAAGCGUGGGGAGCAAACAGGAUUAGAUACCCUGGUAGU
rnacentral:rRNA from 1 species